UGCCAAUGAUGAGUCUAAAUGCACGUAUUAUCAGAUUUAUUGUGAUGAUAUCUCUCUAAUUGUCACUACCUCUGAGGCA